rnacentral:rRNA from 1 species
UUCGCAAUGCCCGAAAGGGUGACGAAGCGACGCCGCGUGUGGGAUGAAGGCCUUCGGGUUGUAAACCACUGUCGGGAGUUAAGAAUUGUAGGAAUGCUAAUAGUGUUUCUACUUGACUAAGGCUCCGGAGGAAGCCACGGCCAACUCUGUGCCAGCAGCCGCGGUAAUACAGAGGCGGCAAGCGUUGUUCGGAAUUAUUGGGCGUAAAGAGCAUGUAGGCGGCUAUGUAAGUCGGUUGUGAAAGCCUUCCGCUUAACGGAAGAAUGGCGGUCGAAACUGCAUGGCUUGAGUGCGGGAGGGGAGAGUGGAACUUCUGGUGGAGCGGUGAAAUGCGUAGAUAUCAGAAGGAACGUCGGCGGCGAAAGCGACUCUCUAGACCGUAACUGACGCUGAGUGUGCGAAAGCUAGGGGAGCAAACGGGAUUAGAUACCCCGGUAGUCCUAGCCGUAAACGAUGGGCACUAAGUAGAGGGGUUUU